GGGCCCAUAGCUCAGCUUGGUAGAGCGGCAGGCUCAUAGCCAGGGGACCGGUCAGGGGUUCAACUCCCCUUGGGCCCACCA
rnacentral:tRNA from 1 species